UACGAAGGGGGCUAGUGUUGCUCGGAAUUACUGGGCGUAAAGCGCACGUAGGCGGAUUGUUAAGUCGGGGGUGAAAUCCUGGAGCUCAACUCCAGAACUGCCUUCGAUACUGGCGAUCUCGAGUUCGGGAGAGGUGAGUGGAACUGCGAGUGUAGAGGUGAAAUUCGUAGAUAUUCGCAAGAACACCAGUGGCGAAGGCGGCUCACUGGCCCGAUACUGACGCUGAGGCACGAAAGCGUGGGGAGCAAACAGG
rnacentral:rRNA from 1 species